rnacentral:lncRNA from 1 species
CCAGUAUCAAAUUUUUUUUAUUGCAGAGUCAAUUUUACAUAAAAAUGUCAAUUAUAAUUUGAAAAUAGGUCUACAAGCACUGUAUUAAAUAUUGCAUGAUAGGUAAUUUUAUUGUAAAUGCAAUUUUUGGUUAUCACUGAUAACUAUUUUCAUAGAAUUAAAGAAGCACUAAAUAAGUAUUUACACUAAGACAACAGAUAAAAAAAAAACAAAUUACGUAAGCACUGUACCAAAAUGAUGCAUAAUGUUUAAUUUUUUUUAUUAUAAUUGUACCUCUAGGCCUAUGUACCUAUGAUAUAAAACUACAACAAAUCAUCCUUAUUAAGACAUUAAGUGACCAAAACAAUAAGAAAUUAACUUAGCUUUUUACGAACAGGUUCUCUAGGUAAUCUUGUGAGUGCAAUCUAUAACAAGCGUGUCAAUUGACUUUGUAUUGCAAUAUCACACUAUGUUUCGAUUGAUAUAUUCUUUUUUGAUAUACAGGCGCAACCCUUUAUUCCUUAUACAUAUAUUUCUAUGUACCUAUGAACUUUGAUUAUUAGCUUUUUGUAGGAUUGCAAUAAGAUGUAUUCAAGAAGCACCGCACAAAAAGAUAUAUACAGUGAAAGAAUUACACUACUGUCACAUUAACUUUGAAUUAAUAAAUAUACUUUCAAUAGAAAAAAUCUGUUAAAAAAAAAAGGAUAGGAGAGAAAAAAGAAAGAAACUAAGAAAAGGUUAGGUAAUCGCAGGAAUAAGAAAAGGAAUGGAAUGGGAAUGGAGGAUUGGGUAAAAUAUGUUUUGUGAGACUUGGGAUGAGGACCUACACAACAGAGAUUUUUUCGAAGAUAUUACAUGACCAGAGAUAGUAUACCAUUUUUACUUUAAAUAUUCAAGGCAUUAACUUCUUACAGAAAAGAUUGGCUCUUAUUUAAAUGUUGAAAAAAGAAAAAAUAGACUGCUGUUGUUUACAAGAAACUCACUGUAUAAAGACAGACGCAUACGCCUUUCAAUUAAAAAAAAACACAUUCUACCCUACACUAAUACAUGCUUCUUUACCAGAUUAAAAAAAAAAAAAAGGGCUGUCAUGAUUCUGAUUAUAAAAGAUGUGAAAUACGAGGCGAUAUAUAAACUAGAAGGUAACUCUUUCUAAUUUGCAAAUUAAAUGAUUAAAAAAUGUUUUUAAAUAAUAGGCAGAUUUAUAUUUUAAACUGGUUUUUAUUUAAAGUGAAUUAUUUUAUUCAGGGAACCUUCUUUUGCAUGGGCGACUUUAAUUGUAUUGCAGACGUUGACAUGGAAAGGAUGGCACAAAAGUGGGAAAAUUACAAUUUCAUCUUUUAGAGCAGGGCUUCCCAAACUUUUGAAAAUGGUAAUUUUUGGAGACUCACUUGCUUUUAAUGCAUAUUUAGAAAAAUUAACACCAUGGCAAUCCGCUUUAGAGGCAUACAAGUGGCACACCAUGGCAAUCCGCUUUAGAGGCAUACAAUUGGCACACCAUGGCAAUCCGCUUUAGAGGCAUACAAUUGGCACACCAUGGCAAUCUGUUUUAGAGGCAUACAAUUGGCACACCAUGGCAAUCAGCUUUAAAGGCAUACAAUUGGCACACCAUGGCAAUCAGCUUUAGAGGCAUACAAUUGGCACACCAUGGCAAUCAGCUUUAGAGGCAUACAAUUGGCACACCAUGGCAAUCAGCUUUAGAGGCAUACAAUUGGAACAUCAUGGCUGCUUUAGAUGCAUAAAAUUAGCACACCAAGGCAAUCAGGUUUAGAUGCAUACAAUUGGCACACCAUGGCAAUCAGUUUUAGAUGCAUAACAUUGGCAUAUCAUGGCAGUUUUAGAGGCAUAAUUUGGCAUAUCAUGGCAGUUUUAGAGGCAUAAUUUUGGCACAUGGCAGUUUUAGAGGCAGAAACUUGGCAUAUCAUUGCAGUUUAAGUGGCAUAAUUUUGGGUAUCAUGGCAAUCAGUUUUAGAGGCAUACAACUGCUUACUCACAGACUCAGUCAGAAUCAGAAGUGCUGUGUCCUGCUCAUUCAGACACCUUACGUUGAUAAUCCCAGUGGUGGAACUAAUGUAGAGAGGACCCUGGUGCAAGUAUGUUUUCUGGGCCCCCUCUUGUGCAAGUGUGGCCAAAAGGUAGAUCCCCAUCUGUCGGAGAACUUCAACAAUGCUGUGCCAGCUGGGGAUCUACAAUUUGCCCAUUGUUGCAGGGUUAUAUUUGUGAGCAGUGUUUGAGUAUUUGGAUGUAAGCAUGUUUUUGUAUUAAAUAUAUGUGUGCAUGUAUGGGUGUUUUUGUAUGUACUGUUGCUAUUGGAAUGUAGUGGUGUACUUGUUUGUAAUGUUUGCAUCUGAAUGCAGGGGUGUUUGAAUGUAGUGCUGGACUUUAAAUGCAGGUGUGCUUUUUGUGUGUAGUGUUGGUGUUUGAAUGAAGGGGUAUUUGUAUAUAAUUUUAGUGUUGUAAUAAAAGGGUGUGUUUGUAAUGCUUGAGCUUGUGUGGUGGAUGCAGUGUGUGUAUAUUGUGUAUAGAAAAUAUACAUAUACACAAUGUGUUUGAAUGUAAGCAUGUUUUUGUAUAGAGUAUGUGUGUGAAUGUUGUUGUUUUAAUGCAGGUGUGCAUUUGUGUGCAGUGUAUACACAUACACACAUACAGAAACACACACACAGACACACAAAUAUACACACUGACACAGCGAUACACAAGGGUUACAGUGUGGGGAGGGGGGACAGGGAAUGGCAGAGUGUGGUGGACUGUGUCCUACCUUUGUUUUCAAUAUAAUAAAUUUCCUGGUGGUCCAGUGGGUUACCCCUCCAGUCUGCAGCUCCACCAGGUGCAAAGCAUGUGAUAGAAGUCCCGCUAGCACCCAGAGUGUUGCCAUGGUAAUGCUCUGGGUGCUCGCGAGACCUCUAUCACGCGGUCUGCACCUAGCGGCCCAACACACUUUGGGAAAUCCUGUUUUAGAGUGUUAGUAAGGAUGUUUCAAGAAACAUUGGCCAAAUUUAAGCUUUAGGACAUCUGGCAUAUGGUGAGACAUAUGGAAUUUGACUAUACAUACUUUUCUCAACAAUAUCAGUCAUACUGCCGUUUGGAUAUGGUUUUAACAACAGAUAUAGCAGUGAAAGAUUGUCAAAGUAUAGACAUUAGAUCUUUUGGAUGGUCUGAUCAUAACUCAGUUAUUGUGUAUGUGUGUGUAUGUAUAUAUAUAUAUAUAUAUAUAUAUAGAAAGUGGAAAGACCGGCACUCAAGGAGUUUUAACAGCUUUUACUGUGUAAAAAUAAAUCAACGUUUCAGCUCCACUAGGG